AUUGAACGCUGGCGGCAGGCCUAACACAUGCAAGUCGAGCGGAUGAAGGGAGCUUGCUCCUGGCUUCAGCGGCGGACGGGUGAGUAAUGCCUAGGAAUCUGCCUGGUCGUGGGGGAUAACGUCCGGAAACGGGCGCUAAUACCGCAUACGUCCUGAGGGAGAAAGUGGGGGAUCUUCGGACCUCACGCUAUCUGAUGAGCCUAGGUCGGAUUAGCUAGUUGGUGGGGUAAAGGCCUACCAAGGCGACGAUCCGUAACUGGUCUGAGAGGGUGAUCAGUCACACUGGAACUGAGACACGGUCCAGACUCCUACGGGAGGCAGCAGUGGGGAAUCUUGGACAAUGGGCGAAAGCCUGAUCCAGCCAUGCCGCGUGUGUGAAGAAGGUCUUCGGAUUGUAAAGCACUUUAAGUUGGGAGGAAGGGCAGUAAGUUAAUACCUUGCUGUUUUGACGUUACCAACAGAAUAAGCACCGGCUAACUUCGUG
rnacentral:rRNA from 1 species